rnacentral:lncRNA from 12 species
AUGUGGGUCUAUUUUCCUUUGCUCCUUUCAGCACUUGCAGGAGACUCUCUUAGUGAUCUAAUAACAUCUCAUGAUUCUGAAAAACAAGCUCAAGAUGGUAACAAUGUUACUCUCUCCUGCAACUACACUGGUGUUGUUUUUAAUCUACUGUGGUAUCGUCAGUAUCAAAGAUCCAAACCAGAACUCCUUCUGUUCAUGACUGAAUCUGGAGAUCCGGUUAAAGAAGAUCCAGCAGCCCACUGGUUAUCUGCUAAAGUUGACAAACUCAGAAAGCUCAUGAAACUGGAAAUCAGCCCUGCUAAAGUAUCAGACUCUGCACAGUAUUACUGUGCCCUGCAGCCCACAGUGACAGGAAACUCUUUUCUCCUGUACAAAAUCUUGCCAAAGGUAGAGCUUAACAUCUAAAAGCUUAUAGACUGGGUGACAGCGUAUUUGACUUUUAUUCAACUUCUUUUAAUUAUUUUAGUUAAUUUUUUAUUUAUUUUUUGUCAGAAAUCUGUAGCUUUGACAAAAUUAUUACUAUAUUGCGGGGACUUGAGUUGGUCUGAUAUAAAAAUUUCAAAAAUAAAAACAUGCUAUGACAGUACUCAUCUAUACACAUUUAAAAAGGUACAAUGUAGAAACUACUACUUUCCUUUUACCCAAAAUGAGCAAUGUCAGGACAUACAGUGAGCAUAGAAAAGAAUAACCCCUCUUUAAAAUAAUCACAUUGUGUUGCUUUGCAGCCUGAAAUAAAGACAGACACAGUUUUUGUUUUAUCCAGCUGCAUUUACUCAGUGCAACUUAUAGCAUCCAAGUGAAAGAUAUAACAAACAUAAUCACUGAGUUGGAAAAAGGAUCACUUGUAAUAAAAAUGACUUGUAAUCUCAAUCAGGAGAGGGGUGAUCCUUUUUCCAACUCAGUGAUUCUGUUUGUUUAUUUAUUUUUUCUGGAGUUAUCUCUUUCACUUGGAUGUUGCAAGUUGCACUGAGUAAUUACAGCUGGAUAAAACUAAAACUGUGUCCGUCUUCAUUUCAGGCUGCAAAGCAACAAAAUGUGAUUAUUUUAAAGGGGGGUGAUUCUUUUCUAUACCCACCGUACUAUGUGGGAGGAGCUCAGUGUGUGGUAGACUCCAGCAGAACAAAUCAAAGAUACAACACUGGCGUUCCUUCAUACAGUUUCUGAUAGAAACCUGAACUAAAAUGUUUCUCAUCUAUUCUGUUUUAAUAUUUCUCCUAAGCUAUGGUAAGUAAUAUUAUUUAUAUAUUCUACAUCUUAAACUACUGGAAGAAUAAACUAUUUAUCAAAGAGGUCUAAAUUUCAUUUAAAAUUUAAAGCUACAAUUAAAAUGACUUUUUUUGCAGAUGGAAUAUGUGGGAAUGUCAUCAGACCAAAACAGCCGUCUGUAGUUUUAACUGAAGGAAGCAGCACCACUCUGUCCUGUACAUAUGAUGGAUCAGCUUACAGUCUCCACUGGUAUCAGCAGAAGCCUGGAUCAAAACCAGAGUUUCUGCUGCUGAUCAUGAACUCUUCUAAAACUGUAGUUCCAGCUUCUCCACCUCACCCACAUAUGUCCAUCAGACUCCGUAAUAAUAAUGAUGUGGAUCUGGAGAUCUCCUCUGCUGCUGUAUCAGACUCUGCUCUGUACUACUGUGCUCUGGAGCCCACAGUGUCAGGAAAACCAACUACACUGUACAAAAACUGUUUCCUUUUCUUUGCUAUACAGUCAGAUUUCUAAGAACCCUUAAUUUACUAGAAUAGUGAAUUCCUUUGGAAUUUUUUUUUUUUUUUUUUUUUGUAUUGAACUAAAAGGCUUAUGGUUAUUUUUGGAAAUAGACAUGCAAUCUAAUGAAAACAUUGUUUUCAUCAUGUUACUGUAAAAUAACUUUGCAAUAUAGUUAACAAAUAUAAUCAAUACAUUUUUGCCUACUUUUGUAGUUAUAGAAACAUCCAGGAAAAAAGCUGUUAAUGUUUAAAAUGUGUUUAAUUUGCCUGAUUUAAACUAGUGAGCACCAAUUUAACAUGCAGGUUGCCAGAAGGUGGAGCUCUAGGUUCAGUCAUUUCAAAACAGAGCACACAGACAUAAAUUGAGUUAGUUGAGGAAAGUCACAAAAGUCUUUUUGUUUCUUGCUGGUGUAGAUGUUUCUCCUGGUCCUCUUGAUACUUUCUCCUCUUAAGGGUAAGUAAUUUAUAAGAAUAACUUCCAAAUUGAAAAAUACUCAUUUUGAAUGGUAAUGUGUAAAAGAAAAACACCUGUUUACACUUUUAUUUCAAACAGAGAAUGCUGAUGCUGAAGUGAUAACCUCAUUCUUCACAGAGCAGCAUGUUUUGGCAGGGAAAGAUAUUACUCUUUCCUGCAAUUACAGUGGCUUUGUUCAAAAUUUGCAGUGGUAUCGUCAGUAUCCCGGAUCCAAACCUGAGAAUAUAAUUUUUUAUACUGAGACCAGCAGUCAGUCAAAGCUUCGUCUGUAUGCUGUGGCAGAUAAAGGAAUCAAACUUAUGAAUUUGAGCAUAUCUUCUACUCAAAUGGAUGAUUCUGCCAUGUACUACUGUGCCCUGCAGCCCACAGUGACAGGAAAUACAACUGCACUGUACAAAAACUUUCUUAUGGGCUAUUCUUACUAGAAGGCACUUUCUCACCAGUUUUUCCUAAUUGUCUUUCCUGACUGAUAUGAUGUGAUGCACUGAACAAUUUGUCACAUAUUACUGACAUAAACAAAUAUAAUUCUAAACUCUUGGUGUCACUAUCAAUCACGGAAAGUCUCAUGGGAUAUCAUCUCUUCUGCUGCAUUAGUUGAUUAUCUUUUGCCAGCUUCACAAUGUUAGUAACAAAAAUUUGCAGAAUUCAAAUUUAACUGACAAUGAGCCUCAUUAAUACAACGAUGAGUGUGUCCUUUGAAUGCAGCAAAGUCUAAUGCUGUGGUCAUGUUCUUAUACUUGUAGAAAUGUUCCAAUAACGUACAUUGCACAUACAGUAAUGCAUAAAUCUGUGUUUUUUUUUUGUAAAAAUGGGCAUGCCGAGUGCUCGUGGUCCUGAUUAAUGUUAAUAAACAUUGCUUCAUAACAUGAUAAAGUAACCCCAAUGCGCAUUUUACUGUGUUACUGCUGAUGCCCAAUGUACAGUAAUGCACCAUUUGCUUGUGAAUUAUUAUAAAGUACACUAGAUUACAUAGCGGCUUAAUAGUAUAUGUAAUAAAUAUCCACUUUACCUAUAUACACAAAAUGUGGAAUCAUUUAGGUGGCCCCUGACAUGUUGGAGACUUAAAUAGUUUAAAUGCUAAUAAUUACCAGAAAUUUCAGAUCAAUUUCAGAUUAAAGCACUCCAUUU